rnacentral:rRNA from 1 species
CGUGAGAUGUUGGGUUAAGUCCCGCAACGAGCGCAACCCCUAUUGAUAGUUGCUAACAUUAAGUUGAGAACUCUAUCAAGACCGCCGGUGAUAAAUCGGAGGAAGGUGGGGACGACGUCAAGUCAUCAUGGCCUUUAUGCCCAGGGCUACACACGUGCUACAAUGGUCGGUACAAAACGUCGCGAUCCCGUAAGGGGGAGCUAAUCGCAAAAACCGAUCUCAGUUCGGAUUGAAGUCUGCAACUCGACUUCA